rnacentral:lncRNA from 1 species
CAUUAAUGAAUAUUUUAAUUUCUAAAAUGAUUUUUAAAUAAUCCCGUCUAUUGUUUCCUUUCUCAAUAGAAUUAUAUUAAUAUUUGUCUGGAUGUCUAAAAAUAUUCUGAUUUUAUUAAACGUUAAAGAAGAUGUUUAUCAAAAAACUCAAUUCGUUUACGGAAUAUUUUCUUCAAAAAAAUUAACUGUACAGAUGAUUAAAUUCAAAAGAAAGAGUAAAUAUUUCUAUAUAAAGAUAGAGGUAGUUAAGGAGUUUGCUGCAUGAAGAUGGACGAAUCGAGCAGAUAAUAGGGCAGGUUUAGUCGACAAACAGUCCAAGCAAAGGGAUUUUUCCCCUUCAAACUUUCAUUUCCACGGCAAUAACUGUGUUCCGGUGCCCAGUCUCAUGCCAAGCUUCAAAGCCUAUUACUGUUUUUCAUUAGCAUUUCAAAUUUAAUUUGCUCACGUCCACGGUAACGGCGCCCCCAGACGACAAGAAAUAAUGGCAAAUUAAAAGGUGUUUACGUCACGUUAGGGGAGUGGGUGCCCCCGUUGCGUGACUUCGCGCCGUAAUGACGUCAGUAAUGGUGAUUUGUUUAAAUGUCACAUUGUUGCCUCGUGUUUGCGUGGUUUAGGUUUUGUUGGACGUUCAAUUAAUAGGCUUAUUUUAACAGAUUAGAUGGGAACAAAAAGCCAGAAUAAUCCCAUUAUUAAAUAUUUUAUAAGAAUUUCGAAAAAUAACUCAAUUUUUAAACGGCUACGUAGAAAUAUCGUAAUUACGGUUCUAAGGUAAAAAUUCUCCUUUAUGCUUAUAGACAAUAAAUUUUAUUGUUCAUUAUAUGCAACAUUACUUAUAUGCGUGUUAUACACGAAUGUGUGCCAUAUUAAAACAAUAAAGAGCAAAAAACUGAUAUAUUGUCAUUUAGGACAAGUUACAAUUCAGUUAGGAGCAAUGUUGUUUAACUGAGCUACUUAAGAUUUGUUGAGUACAGGUGAGCCGCACGCAAAUGAUAUGUGCGAAUCUAUCUAUUUUACAGCGUCACGAACGAACGUGACGCGGCAAAUUAGUUUAAUAAGUGUAUGUAUAUAUGAUGAAUGACACACUAGAAAAUAAACGUGAUGGAAUAUAAUAUACAUCUCUUUGUUAAGAGCGUAUCACGCAUUUUAAUCUAUCGUUCUCUUUUUUUAUUUUUUCCCCCUUCUUUCCGAAAUUUUUCAUUGUUUACUCGCAAAGCGAUUUCUUUCGGGUUGAAAUGGCUAAAAAAAAAGAAAGCAUUUUAAAACGCUACAAGUCUACUUAUAAAACCGCUAGUUUUAGAAAAGCCGAUUGCUGCAACAUCCAAUCAGUCGAGAAAAAAAUAUAUAUAUAUAAAAAAAAUACGCAACAUGAACUCAAAUAGAAUUCAACAGUGGGAAAGGAAGUUUAGAUAAAAACGAAACAGCAGAAACAAUUUGGAUGAUUCCUGGCAACCGUCAGUAGCCAGAUGACAAGACUGAAUGACACACGAACCCUUGUCCGGUUGUCAUAGCAACAGGACGUACUACGGUGGCGAGAUAAGCGACGUCGAUGUGCGGGUUUUGUCUGCGACACGAACAAAAGAACAGUUUAGAACGGACGCAUCCUGCGAUUCCAUUCUCGUCCUCGGGGCGAUUUUCUCAACUCGUACGGUUUGUGUACGGUUGUCGAUGUUGACAUUACAACCACCCACUGAUGACAGCUGUCCGAUUGGAGCAGAAGUUUAAUAACACCCUCUACAGCCAACUGACAAAACUGACGGAUGGCACAAAGAGUCCGAUGACGUCAAACUACUCGCUUCAACACAUAAACGUUUUAUGUAAGGUGUUCAAUAGAUUACUCGCUCUGUGGGAUUUAAACUACCCCGUUAUAACAUAAUUAUACACGCGAGUCGUAAACGCAGGCGUAAAAAUUUAAAUCGUGUCUCCAUUUUUUCUAUUUUUAUUUUUACGUUUACAGAAAUAGAUGGUUUUCGGGCAUCUCCUCCAGAGAGAGAAUAAGCAGCCAAUGGUUGGUUGAUUUUGCCAAUUAUUGGGAAAAGUUGAAAUCAAAAAUCGCAUGUGAGAAGACAGAAGUCGUUAUAAUGGGAAAGGAGACCCAAUAGUUGACAUGUGACUGGCACCUGUAAUGGACCGAUGGAUCAUCCUCGGGCAAUAACUUAUGUAAGCUAUUCAUCCUCGUUCGGCUAAGAUUAUUAUUUUUUAGCAAAAAAAUUUUAUUUUAUUCUUCACUAAUAUGAUUCGAAUCUGUCAUACUUACUAAUACUAAUUAUAAAGACUUAUAGGCCAAAAAAUGGGUGUAAAUCAACGUCCGUAUCUGAUGAAUUUUAAGCGUAAAUAUAGUAUUUAACUAAGGGAUUUUCAACGAAAUUCCGCAUUGUAGGCCUAUUUUGUCGAACCGAACGGAAUUACCACUGAAAUACUGUUAAGCUUAGUGUCAGAAUACUCUUUAUCGAGGAUUUUUCUUUAUUUCUUGAGCAAACAGACCUCAAUCAGCUUAAACUCAAACAACUUCGCUGUUAUCCUAAUGCUUUGAACAUUAUUUCGGGUGUUCGAGACAAACAACUACUCAAAUUCCAUUUGCUGUUUUCUUUAGCUUAUAAAUUUAUGUGAUUUACUUGCCUUUUACCUUUAAAAAGUAAACUGUAUGAUUCAGAAAGAUGUCUUAAAUUUAUUAUUUUCAACCGUAUAAAUCUGCA